GCUUGUCUCAAAGAUUAAGCCAUGCAUGUCUAAGUAUAAAUCUUUUACUUUGAAACUGCGAACGGCUCAUUAUAUCAGUUAUAGUUUAUUUGAUAGUCCCUUACUACUUGGAUAACCGUAGUAAUUCUAGAGCUAAUACAUGCGUCAAGCCCCGACUUCGGAAGGGGUGCAUUUAUUAGAUUCAAACCAUCGGCUUCGGCCUUUGAUGGUGAGUCAUAAUAACUUAGCGAAUCGAAUGGCCUUGUGCCGUCGAUGCUUCAUUCAAAUUUCUGCCCUAUCAGCUUUCGAUGGUAGGAUCUUGGCCUACCAUGGCUAUAACGGGUAACGGGGAAUUAGGGUUCGAUUCCGGAGAGGGAGCUUGAGAAACGGCUACCACAUCCAAGGAAGGCAGCAGG
rnacentral:rRNA from 1 species